rnacentral:rRNA from 1 species
CCCGCUGAACUUAAGCAUAUCAAUAAGCGGAGGAAAAGAAACUAACAAGGAUUCCCCUAGUAACUGCGAGUGAAGCGGGAAGAGCUCAAAUUUAAAAUCUGGCGGUCUCGCGGCCGUCCGAGUUGUAAUCUGGAGAAGCGUUUUCCGCGUCGGACCGUGUACAAGUCUUCUGGAACGGAGCGUCGUAGAGGGUGAGAAUCCCGUCUCUGACACGGACAGCCGAUGCUUCAUGUGAUACGCUCUCGAAGAGUCGAGUUGUUUGGGAAUGCAGCUCAAAAUGGGUGGUAAAUUCCAUCUAAAGCUAAAUAUUGGCGAGAGACCGAUAGCGAACAAGUACCGUGAGGGAAAGAUGAAAAGCACUUUGGAAAGAGAGUGAAACAGUACGUGAAAUUGUUGAAAGGGAAACGCUUGAAGUCAGUCGCGUCUUCUGGAACUCAGCCGUGCUUCUGCUAGGCGCAUUUUCCAGUUUGACGGGUCAGCAUCGGUUUCGGUGGGCAGACAAAGGCGCAGGGAAGGUGGCCGCUCCGGUGGUGUUAUAGCCCUGCGUUGUAUGUGCCCGCUGGGACCGAGGAAUCCGGCUCGCGCCUGGGAUGCUGGCGUAAUGGCUCUAAGCGACCCGUCUUGAAACACGG